GACGAACGCUGGCGGCAUGCCUAAUACAUGCAAGUCGAGCGGAGUUGAUGGAAAGCUUGCUUUCCUGAUGCUUAGCGGCGGACGGGUGAGUAACACGUAGGCAACCUGCCCUCAAGCUUGGGACAACUACCGGAAACGGUAGCUAAUUCCGAAUACUUGUUUUCUUCGCCUGAAGAGAACUGGAAAGACGGAGCAAUCUGUCACUUGGGGAUGGGCCUGCGGCGCAUUAGCUAGUUGGUGAGGUAACGGCUCACCAAGGCGACGAUGCGUAGCCGACCUGAGAGGGUGAUCGGCCACACGGGGACUGAGACACGGCCCAGACUCCAACGGGAGGCAGCAGUAGGGAAUCUUCCGCAAUGGGCGAAAGCCUGACGGAGCAAUGCCGCGUGAGUGAUGAAGGUUUUCGGAUCGUAAAGCUCUGUUGCCAGGGAAGAACGCUUGGGAGAGUAACUGCUCUCAAGGUGACGGUACCUGAGAAGAAAGCCCCGGCUAACUACGUGCCAGCCGCCGCGGUAA
rnacentral:rRNA from 1 species